rnacentral:rRNA from 1 species
AUUGAACGCUGGCGGCAUGCUUUACACAUGCCAGUCGAACGGUAACAGGCCGCAAGGUGCUGACGAGUGGCGAACGGGUGCGUAAUGCAUCGGAACGUGCCCAGUCGUGGGGGAUAACUACUCGAAAGAGUAGCUAAUACCGCAUACGAUCUAUGGAUGAAAGCGGGGGACCGUAAGGCCUCGCGCGAUUGGAGCGGCCGAUGUCAGAUUAGGUAGUUGGUGGGGUAAAGGCUCACCAAGCCAACGAUCUGUAGCUGGUCUGAGAGGACGACCAGCCACACUGGGACUGAGACACGGCCCAGACUCCUACGGGAGGCAGCAGUGGGGAAUUUUGGACAAUGGGCGCAAGCCUGAUCCAGCAAUGCCGCGUGCAGGAAGAAGGCCUUCGGGUUGUAAACUGCUUUUGUACGGAACGAAACGGCUCUGGUUAAUACCCGGGGCUAAUGACGGUACCGUAAGAAUAAGCACCGGCUAACUACGUG